AUAUAAGACACAUCACCCCCUCUCCGUUGGUUGAUGUGGGAUCUUACAAUCCACCCCCCUUAAGGGCCCGACGUCCUCGUCGGCACACUCGCACCACACAACAGAGUGGCUCUGAUACCAAAUUGUCACAUCCCGAGAUCGGCUCCGCCGUAGCACGAUAUUGUCCGUUUUGGGCCCCCUUCUCUGCCCGCACGGUUUUGUUUCUGGGAGCUCACGAGCAACUUCCCAGUGGGUCACCCAUCCUGGGAUUGCUCUAGCCCCCAACUCGCUUAACUUCGGAGUUCCCACGACUCCGAAGCCAGUGAGCUCCCAAAAGGCCUCGUGCUAGAUGGAUGCGGGUGUGCACAUAUAAGGCACAUC
rnacentral:lncRNA from 1 species